rnacentral:rRNA from 1 species
UACAGAGGUCCCAAGCGUUGUUCGGAUUCACUGGGCGUAAAGGGUGCGUAGGUGGUUGGGCAAGUCUGCUGUGAAAUCUCCGGGCUUAACCCGGAAAUGGCAUUGGAAACUGCCUGGCUAGAGUGUUGGAGGGGGGACUGGAAUUCUCGGUGUAGCAGUGAAAUGCGUAGAUAUCGAGAGGAACACCAGUGGCGAAGGCGAGUCCCUGGACAACGACUGACACUGAGGCACGAAAGCUAGGGGAGCAAACAGG